GACGAACGCUGGCGGCGUGCUUAACACAUGCAAGUCGAACGAAGUGGCGAACGGGUGAGUAACGCGUAAUCAACCUGCCCUUCAGAGGGGGACAACAGUUGGAAACGACUGCUAAUAACGCAUACUGAAGGAGGGGCUUGCGUCUGUUAAGGUAGUUGGAGGGGUAACGGCCCACCAAGGCGAAGAUCAGUAGCCGGUCUGGUGGGAUGAACGGCCACAUUGGGGCUGAGACACGGCCCAGACUCCUACGGGAGGCAGCAGUGGGGAAUCUUCCGCAAUGGACGGAAGUCUGACGGAGCAACGCCGCGUGAGUGAUGACGGCCUUCGGGUUGUAAAGCUCUGUUAAUCGGGACGCGGUACCGGAAUAGAAAGCCACGGCUAACUACGUGCCAGCAGCCGCGGUAAUAC
rnacentral:rRNA from 1 species